UUAAAGGCUAUGACGGAGAAAAGUAGUUUAUUAAUUACCUUUCAGGGAGGAAGAGUCCUGACUGUAAGCUCUUCUAUGUGUAGUGGUAAAUGAAGUUCCCUCCUGAGCUGCCGGCUGAACAUGAUAAAUUCAAGUAGGCUAGGACGGUUCUUCACCGUUAGAAAGAAGGGGGUAUCGGAUAUUCUUCCCGUACCUUUGUCGAGUGGCUUUAUGGCUUAAGUUGGGUGGUACCGCGAGAUAUACUUCUCGUCCCUGCA
rnacentral:ncRNA from 1 species